AACCCUGCAGAGACUCAGAGGCUGGCAACUAGGGGCAGGGCCUUUUUAGUGGUAGCCCCCAUCCUUGGAACAACCUUCUUGUUGUGGCCUCCCUGAUGUCAAAUUUGUCAUCUUUUUGGUGCCAGGUUAAGACAGCUCUCUUUUGCAGAUGCCUUUAAAGACCUCCCUGGUACUUCUGGGGCCUGCUACAAUUAGCCAGGUGCUGUUCUCUUACUCUUGGUCUGGUCUUUUUAAAUUGUCUUUUUAUUGUCUUUUCAAGUUCUUUUAUGUUAUUUUAAAUUAUUAUUUUU